rnacentral:lncRNA from 1 species
GAUCGACCAGAGCAAGGAGGGGCGACCCAGAUUUCUCAAACCCUAAGUUCAUGCUAUUUGAUCAAUUGAAGGCAAAUUUCAGUCCCAAAUCAAAUUCCGAGCAUAGAUUAAUGAUCCCCAUCGCAAGGAGAUCAUAAGUUUGACUCUUGACAAGCUAGAUGGAGGCUUGGGAAUGAAGCGGGUCAAACGGAGCAAGUACGAAAAGGAAAGCGUAAUUUGGAUGCGAGAGUUAUAA